rnacentral:lncRNA from 1 species
AGACCCCUAUAAACAUAUAUUGUAAUCAGCUCAUUAAUCCUAUUAAUUCAUAUAAAAUAAAAACCAAAUUUUAUAUGAGCAGUCGAGGAGACCUUGCUAUCUAUAAUUAAGUAACACUAUGCGAGUAGUCGAGGCUACUAUGAUAUAUAAAAAUAUUUAAACUGAUAUAUAUAUAUAUAUAUAUAUUCAUGACCAAUAGACCACUAUGCUAAAAUGACAAAACAAUAAGGGUAAUAUGGCUAACAAUAUACAUUUAUACAACCCAAAAUUUACAA